CUUGGUCCGUCGCGUUCGCGGGAGCUUUUAUUUCCUUGAACCGAUGCUCGAAAGAGCAGGGGCUUGGAACAUCGCGAUGCGGGCGUGAUCGUCUCGCGUCAGAUGAACCCGAAGCAUCGCUGACCUCGCCCACCUGAACCCUGGGUUCAGGAAUGCGGCUCCCGGCUCGUGGCGGACACCCC
rnacentral:other from 1 species